rnacentral:rRNA from 1 species
GAUGAACGCUGGCGGCGUGCCUAAUACAUGCAAGUCGAGCGAACGGACGAGAAGCUUGCUUCUCUGAUGUUAGCGGCGGACGUGUGAGUAACACGUGGAUAACCUACCUAUAAGACUGGGAUAACUUCGGGAAACCGGAGCUAAUACCGGAUAAUAUUUUGAACCGCAUGGUUCAAAAGUGAAAGACGUUCUUGCUGUCACUUCUAGAUGGAUCCGCGCUGCAUUAGCUAGUUGGUAAGGUAACGGCUUACCAAGGCAACGAUGCAUAGCCGACCUGAGAGGGUGAUCGGCCACACUGGAUCUGAGACACGGUCCAGACUCCUACGGGAGGGAGCAGUAGGGAAUCUUCCGCAAUGGGCGAAAGCCUGACGGAGCAACGCCGCGUGAGUGAUGAAGGUCUUCGGAUCGUAAAAAUCUGUUAUUAGGGAAGAACAUAUGUGUAAGUAACUGUGCACAUCUUGACGGUACCUAAUCAGAAAGCCACGGCUAACUACGUG